rnacentral:rRNA from 1 species
GUUUGAUCCUGGCUCAAGAUGAACGCUAGCGGCAUGCUUAACACAUGCAAGUCGAGGGACUUCAUGUCCAGCAAUGGAUGAUGGCAACCGGCGAAAGGGUGCGUAACGCAUGACCAACAUGCCCUAUACAGGGAGAUACACCAGGGAAACUUGGUCUAUUAUCCCAUACCAUUCAUUGAAAGCAUCUUUAAUGAAUUAAAGCUUCGGUGGAAUAGGAUUGGCUCGCGUGACAUUAGCCAGAUGGUGAGGUAACGGCUCACCAGAUCAAUGAUGUCUAGGGGUUUUGAGAGGAACGCCCCCCACACUGGCACUGAAACACGGCCCACACUCCUAAGGGAGGCAGCAGUGAGGAAUAUUGGACAAUGGAUGGAAAUCUGAUCCAGCCAUGCCGCGUGCAGGAAGACGUCGUUAUGGUUUGUAAAAUGCUUUUAUACUGGAGCAAUAAGGGUUACGAGUAAUCGGAUGAGAGUAAUGUAUGAAUAAGGAUUGGCUAACUCCGUGCCAGCAGCCGCGGUAAUACGGAGGAUCCGAGCUUUAUCCGGAAUUAUUGGGUUUAAAGGGUGGGUAGGCGGCCAUGUAAGUCAGCGGUGAAAUUGGCUAGCUUAACUGUAACACGUGCCGUUGAUACUGUUUGGAUAGGAUUUGAUUAUAGUGUGAGGUAAUGUGUGGUGUAGCGGGUGAAAUGAGUUAUAUAUCACACAGAACCCCGGAUGGGGAAGGCAGCACCAUUAAGUCCUUAUUGACGGUUGAGGCACGGAAGGUGUGGGGAUCAAACAGGAUUAGAUUGCCCUGGUAGUCCACACUGUAAACGAUGAUAACUCGGGGUCGGCGAUACACAGUCGGGGGCCAAGCGAAAGCAUUAAGAUAUCCACCUGGGGAGUACGACCGCAAGGUUGAAACUCAAAGGAGUGGACGGGGGCCCGCACAAGCGGAGGAACAUGUGGUUUAAUUCGAUGAUACGCGAGGAACCUUACCCGGGCUCGCACGGUGCAUGAAUAUACGAGAGAUGGUAUAGUCCUUCGGGACAUGUAUAGAGGUGCUGCAUGGUUGUCGUCAGCUCGUGCCGUGAGGUGUCGGCUUAAGUGCCAUAACGAGCGCAACCCUCGUCAUUAGUUGCCAUCAGGUCAAGCUGGGGACUUUAAUGAGACUGCCACCGUAAGGUGUGAGGAAGGGGGGGAUGACGUCAAAUCAGCACGGCCCUUAUGUCCGGGGCGACACACGUGUUACAAUGGGAGGUACAGAGGGCAGCUAUCCGGUGACGGAAGGGUAAUCUCCAAAACCUUUCUCAGUUUGGAUUGGAGUGUGCAACUUGACUCCAUGAAGGUGGAUUCGGUAGUAAUCGCGCAUCAGCCAUGGCGCGGUGAAUACGUUCCCGGGCCUUGCACUCACCGCCCGUCA